GUGGUUGCCCAACACAGAUGGGUGGCUGAGCUGGGACUGUGGCCCUGCUGUCCCGACGACCAGCCCCUUGCUCUAAUUCUGUCCCCCUGUCUUUAAGGUCACAGAGGGAAGAUGAACCUGCCCCUUUCCUGUCUUCCUUGCACCACUGUGAUGGAUGGAAAUGAAUCCCAUCUCUGCACCUCCUUUGUGUCUAUAUCAAGGCAAAAUGAACCUCCUUCCUCUCCCUUUCCACACCACGGGGAGAAGAUAAACUUGCCCCUUGAUUCUGCAAUUUGUAGCUUUUCAGGGUAAAAUAAAACCAUUAAAUCUCA